AUGGAUCCAGCAGAGGAUUUGAAUGUCAGGUUCCAUUAUGGGGGAGAGUUCAUCCGCAUUGGUCCAUCCCUUGAUUAUGUUGAUGGAGAUAAUGCAAUGUCAGUUGUUGAGAGGGAUAAGUUAUUGCUGCCAGAGCUGAAAGGAUUUUUAGCUGAUCAUUUAACUGUCAAAGAGAGUAUGAAGCUAUAUUUUCUCAUGCCUGGGAGAGAGUUGGUUAAUGGAUUAGUGUUUCUGCAUAUUGAUGAAGGUUGCAUACAGAUGUCAAACCACAUUACAGAUGUUGGGGUUGCUAACAUAUUUGUGGAGUACAAUGGUGAGCAAGAUGAGCCAGAGGAAGAUGCUAGUGGCUCUGAUUUUGAAGAUGAACUGCAUGAUCUGAUGGACAAUGAGGAUGAACCAGAUGCUGUUAUCACUCCAGAAGAA
rnacentral:rRNA from 1 species